ACUGGAGUCAUGACAAGGAAGCUUGCCCAGGCCGUUCUGCUCCGCCGCCUUCCAGAUCACCCCAGCACACGGCUACUUGCCAAGAAGUGAUGGGACUGGCUGACAGUUGGUGAGGGGGCAGACGAGAACAUCAUAAGAAAUGCUGGGCUGGAGGAGGCACAAGCUGGAAUCAAGACUGCCAGGAGAAAUAUCAAUAACCUCAGAUGUGCAGAUGACACCACCCUUAUGGCAGAAAGUGAAGAAGAACUAAAGAGCCUCUUGAUGAAAGUGAAAGAGGAGAGUGAAAAAGUUGGCUGAAAGCACAACAUUCAGAAAAAUAAGAUCACGGCAUCCGGUCCCAUCACUUCAUGGCAAAUCGAUGGGGAAACAGUGGAAACAGUGGCUGACUUUAUUUUUCUGGGCUCCACAGUCACUGCACAUGGUGACUGCAGCCAUGAAAUUAAAAGACACUUACUCCUUGGAAGGAAAGUUAUAACCAACCUAGAUAGCAUAUUAUAAAGCAGAGAUAUUACUUUGUUAACAAAGGUCCAUCUAGUCAAGGGUAUGGUUUUUUCAGUGGUCAUGUAUGGAUGUGAGAGUUAGACUAUAAAGAGGGCUGAGUGCAGAAGAAUUGAUGCUUUUGAACUGUGGUGUUGGAGAAGACUCUUGAGAGUCCCUUGGACUACAAGGAGAUCCAACCAGUCCAUCCUAAAGGAGAUCAAUCCUGGGUGUUCUUUGGAAGGACUGAUGUUAAAGCUGAAACUCCAAUAUUUUGGCCACUUGUUGCAAAGUACUGACUCAUUUGAAAAGACCCUGAUGCUGGGAAAGACUGAAGGCAGGAGGAGAAGGGGAUGACAGAGGAUGAGAUGGUUAGAUGGCAUCACUGACUCAAAGGACAUGAGUUUGGGUAAACUCUGGGAGUUGGUGAUGGACAGGGAGGACUGGCGUGCUGCAGUUCAUGGGGUCGCAAAGAGUUGGACACAACUGAGUGACUGAAUUGAACUGAACCACAUAACAAAUAGAAGUUUGAGGGUAUUCCUUUUGGCCUCAGAGCACUAUGAAAAAUAUCACAAAGGCACAAAGGAUGCUAUGAGCAAAGAAACUCGAGAAUCUUUGAAUUAACAGAUGGUCUAAAGUUGAGUUUCUGUUAUAACUUUCUUAAAUCAUAGAAAAUUAAAGUUGGAAGGAAACUUAGUGAUAACUAAGGUGUUGGAGAAGAUUCUUGAGAGUCCCUUGGACUGCAAAGAGAUCAAACCAGUCAAUCCUGAAGGAAAUCAGUCCUGAAUAUUCAUUGGAAGGAUUGAUGCUGAAGCUGAAACUCUAGUACUUUGGCCACCUGAUGCAAGGAACUAACUCAUUUGAAAGGACCCUGAUGCUUAGAAAGAUUCAAGGCAGGAGGAGAAGGAGACAACAGAAGAUGAGGUGGUUGGAUGGCAUCAUCGACAUGAUGGUUAUGAGUUUUGAAAAAGCUCCAGGAGAUAGUGAAGGACAGGGAAGCCCGGCGUGCUGCAGUCCACGGGGUCACAAAGAGUCUGACACAAAUGAGUGACUGACCGAAAACAGCAAAGAACAAAUCCUGUCAUUUUACAGAGGACACAGCUAAGCAAGGUUAAGGGGUAUCAUCAAAGGUCAUCAGUUCUUGGUAGAACAAGAACUAGA